UUAGAUAAUGAGAGCGGUUCCAGCGGCGGCGACUGGGCUCGACUGUGUGAUGGUCAACGCCUCAACGGGGCAGCCGGGAUGGCGUGGUGAGCGGCGGCUGGCGUCGGUCGUUGUGGUGGAUGAUCGGAAGCAUAGUUUGCGGAGGCGGCGCUAUUGUGGCAGUGGCGGUCACCUCAGAUCCUCCAUGGCUGGCGCGACUCCCGUGACUUCCCCUCCCUCGGCUCGCCACCACGCCAUGAGCCCAAGGACUGACAUCGGAUUGAUUCGGGGGCGUGAGAAACUGCUGCAUUGGCCUCGCGGUUCGGCCGUGUACGGUCUGGCGGCAGACGACGGCGUCGUAGCGGUAUGACGCCGGGCGGCCGGGGGACCAUUUGGAGCUGAAGCGGUGGGUUAGAGGAGUGCCAGAUUGGAUAGGAUACAUGGCCUUCAUUUUUGCAACAUGGAUUUGUUAGUGUUCGUAACUUUCCCAAUUUUUUGAUGAUGAUUUCCGAGAUCUGGAGAGUUUGAUCUAAACUAAAGAAUUAUUUACCUGGCCCAAUAAAUUCCCUGAUGCAGGGUGUAGCUAUGUUACAGACUACCAGCUCAUACCUUAAAUACAAGUAUGUUGAUCAAAUCCUGUUUUUACUUUAUCCGCCUCAUUCUUUGUUUGGGCACCUCUCUAUAUAGAUUCAUCUAUGUGUUUGAUUGUUGUAUUCAUAGAAACAAUUGUGUACGAGAGAUUGAUUUAUGCGUCGUUUGAAAUUCAAUUUUAGGGCUAGUAAGAAAAGGCAUUUUUUAGUACUUAUCAGUGCGAGUAGUUGUUUUGUUUUUCUUUUCUUAGUAAGUUUAUACAAAAUUUGGAGUUACAAUUUACAGUCAGUGUUCUUCGGCAGGUACGGCAGGUAUAUAGCAUGUACUUAGCCAAUACAUCUGGGUGGGCAAGCUCACUGCACAGUUGAACUUGUAGCAACCCGUACAUGUAUUAGUAGCACUAUUUGUGCUGAUACACCAACUUUCCUUUGUUGAAGGGUAUGCUCUUUCCUAUUUUUCUUAAAUUUCAUUUGACCACAUUUGAAUUGGCCAUGCUAUUAUGAAAACAUAGCCUUAUUUCAGUUUGUUGAAAUUUAUCUAGAAACAACUUGGCCUAUAGUUGCGUGGGUUAUUAUCAAAUUUUUUUACUCGUUUUUAACUAGUUUUCUUAUAGAAGUUUGUCAGAAGAUAGGAGCUAUCCAGCUUUGUUGGGCAACUUUUUAAGAUUGACGUUGAUGUUCUAAACUCCGUAUUGCACUAUGUUUUCUUCUCAGAUCAUAGAUCAAUUGGGAGCUUUUCUCCCCUGCCAAAGUAACUACUAUAGAUUUAUAGACACAUAUGCUUCCCCUACGAUGAAUGUCUGUUGAACGAAAAAUGCAUUCAUCUUUUGUGUAGUUUUUGGAACCAGUGAAUUAUUUGGACAUAUUUGCACUUGAAAGGACUGGAUGCAUAUAUGCUGGUACUGAAAAGGGGUACAUUGUACUGAUUUUGUCCAACAGGCAUGCAAAUCUUUCAGACUAUAUUUUCCAGUCAUGUUUUUUUAAUUAAUUUUCCCUAGCAUAAACCCAACUUUCUAUGUUUAUGUGUUUCAGCCGUAAUAGUUUACUAGGUAUGAAUCAUCAGUUAAUCCAUCUCGGUGUUCUCUUAACAAAGGAUUGCAUGCUAUUGAGCUUGGCUCAACUACCGAUGGCACAGAUAUUCCUUUCUUUUUUCCCAAUGGUGGUUGAUUUGCUUCUUCCAUGGAGGCCUGUGUUUUGCUAAUUGUCUAUUAGCCAGUUAGAGAAGUAGUGGCAAUCAAUGUAUAUUUCAAUUCUUGUAUCUUAUCUGGAUAGCUUCAGACAUACUUAGCUCUCUUGUGUUUCAAGGAAAUGAAUGUUGCUAGUCAAAAGAAGUGAUGGACUAGGUACUAAGUAUGUAUUACCCGAUUUUACUA